GGAGUUAGCCGGUGCUUCUUCUGUGAGUGAUGUCCUUCCUGCCGGUUAUUGACCCGCAGGCCUUCUUCCUCACUGAAAGUGCUUUACAACCCGAAGGCCUUCUUCACACACGCGGCAUGGCUGGAUCAGGGUUGCCCCCAUUGUCCAAUAUUCCCCACUGCUGCCUCCCGUAGGAGUCUGGGCCGUGUCUCAGUCCCAGUGUUGCUGAUCAUCCUCUCAGACCAGCUACGGAUCGUCGCCUUGGUGAGCCGUUACCUCACCAACCAGCUAAUCCGACAUAGGCUCAUCCGAUAGCGCGAGGCCCGAAGGUCCCCCGCUUUCCCCCGUAGGGCGUAUGCGGUAUUAGCCUGGGUUUCCCCAGGUUAUCCCCCACUACCGGGCAGAUUCCUAUGCAUUACUCACCCGUCCGCCGCUCGCCACCAGGGAGCAAGCUCCCCGUGCUGCCGCUCGACUUGCAUGUGUUAGGCCUGCCGCCAGCGUUCAAUCUGAGCCAGAAUCGAACCCUGA
rnacentral:rRNA from 1 species